rnacentral:rRNA from 1 species
UACGGGGGGGGGCAAGCGUUGUCCGGAUUUAUUGGGCGUAAAGAGCGUGUAGGCGGCCAUGUAGGUCCGUUGUGAAAACUCGAGGCUCAACCUCGAGACGCCGAUGGAAACCAUGUGGCUAGAGUCCGGAAGAGGAGAGUGGAAUUCCUGGUGUAGCAGUGAAAUGCGCAGAUAUCAGGAAGAACACCCGUGGCUAAGGCGGCUCUCUAGUACGGUACUGACGCUGAGACGCGAAAGCGUGGGGAGCGAACAGG